AGUAUUUAUACAAGGUCUAAAUACGAGGCCCUAAAUAUGGUAUAAACAUUUUCCUUAUGGAACAAGGAUUGUAUCUUGUACAUAUUUUUAGUUAUGUAAUACAAUGAGAAUUAAGUCGUAAAAUUCUAUUUGUCAUCAGAGGCUAGUUGUCGUAACCCUAACCAGGAAAAUACCCAUCCCGUGCCAUUAUGCUGCCAAGAAAUUUGCGAAGGUUGUGCGUGCUGCCUUUGCUGUGAGUAUUAUUAGGAUCUUGGAGUUUUGUAUUGGGACCUUGAAAUUUUUUGUCU
rnacentral:lncRNA from 1 species